UGUGUCGCCACUUCCGCGUCCUUGCCGAGCCAGCUGAAGGAGUUUACUGGGAGUUCCCUCAAACAAAUGGCUACCGGAAAACUCAAGGAAAAAACUGCAUUGGUCAUCAAUCAGUUCCCCGGCGGUUGAUCGAACGUCUGAUACACAGCUCAACGGACGUCUUCCAGAGACACACUUUGCUGAAGCUCGAUAUUCUGUUUCAGUUACCCACCUCCAUGUGAGAGGAUGGUCAAACCAAAUUCAUGUUUCAAAUCACCUUGAUAAAAACAAUGGGGACCAUUAAAAAAUUACGUUUGAUGGCCA